CAGAGUUCAUGCCCUCACGGGUAGAUCUCCCACCCUUGAAUAACAUACAAUGUUGCUUUGGCGAGCGCUUCGGCGGCCGCCAGAGGACCCUAAACUCUUGUUUACAGUGUCGUCUGAGUAAAAUAUUUAAUAUUUA
rnacentral:misc_RNA from 1 species